UGGGGAAUAUUGCACAAUGGGGGAAACCCUGAUGCAGCGACGCCGCGUGAGCGAAGAAGGUUUUCGAAUCGUAAAGCUCUGUCCUAUGAGAAGAUAAUGACGGUAUCAUAGGAGGAAGCCCCGGCUAAAUACGUGCCAGCAGCCGCGGUAAUACGUAUGGGGCGAGCGUUGUCCGGAAUUAUUGGGCGGAAAGGGUACGUAGGCGGUCUAUUAAGUCAGGUGUGAAAGCGUGAGGCUUAACCUCAUUAAGCACUUGAAACUGGUAGACUUGAGUGAAGGAGAGGAAAGUGGAAUUCCGAGUGUAGCGGUGAAAUGCGUAGAUAUUAGGAGGAAUACCGGUGGCGAAGGCGACUUUCUGGACUUUUACUGACGCUCAGGUGCGAAAGCGUGGGGAGCGAACAGG
rnacentral:rRNA from 1 species